GCCAGCAGCCAUAUCACCCUGCAACUCACAACUGGCAACCCACUGAAGCUAAGCAGGUGUGAGCCUGCUCAGUACCUGGAUGGAGACCUCCUGGGAAAAACUAAGGUUGCUGCUGGAA
ensembl:rRNA 5S_rRNA 5S ribosomal RNA